UGGUGCGAACAAAGAUUCGAUUGAGUUUGAUUCUCGCUCAGAACGAACGCUGGCGGCAGGCUUAAUACAUGCAAGUCGAACGGCUGUAGCACCCAGCAGUGGCAGACGGGUGAGUAACACGUGGGAACCUACCUGGGGGUGCGGAAUAACUCAGGGAAACUUGUGCUAAUACCGUAUACGACCUCAGGGUGAAAGAUUUAUCGCCCCUAGAUGGGCCCGCGCUGGAUUAGCUAGUUGGUGGGGUAAAAGCCUACCAAGGCGACGAUCCAUAGCUGGUCUGAGAGGAUGAUCAGCCACACUGGGACUGAGACACGGCCCAGACUCCUACGGGAGGCAGCAGUAGGGAAUCUUGGACAAUGGGCGAAAGCCUGAUCCAGCCAUGCCGCGUGAGUGAUGAAGGCCUUAGGGUUGUAAAGCUCUUUUACCCGGGAUGAUAAUGACAGUACCGGGAGAAUAAGCCCCGGCUAACUCCGUGCCAGCAGCCGCGGUAAUACGGAGGGGGCUAGCGUUGUUCGGAAUUACUGGGCGUAAAGCGCACGUAGGCGGCGAUUUAAGUCAGAGGUGAAAGCCCGGGGCUCAACCCCGGGAUAGCCUUUGAGACUGGAUUGCUUGAACAUCGGAGAGGUGAG
rnacentral:rRNA from 1 species